UACGAAGGGUGCAAACGUUGCUCGGAAUUAUUGGGCGUAAAGCGCACGUAGGCGGCUUAGCAAGUCGGAUGUGAAAUCCCUCGGCUCAACCAAGGAAGUGCAUCCGAAACUGCUGAGCUUGAGUACGAAAGAGGAUCGCGGAAUUCCCGGUGUAGAGGUGAAAAUUCGUAGAUAUCGGGAGGAACACCAGUGGCGAAGGCGGCGAUCUGGGUCGAUACUGACGCUGAGGUGCGAAAAGCGUGGGGGAGCAAACAGGG
rnacentral:rRNA from 1 species